AUUGAACGCUGGCGGCAGGCUUAACACAUGCAAGUCGAGCGGAGAGAGGUAGCUUGCUACUGAUCUUAGCGGCGGACGGGUGAGUAAUGCUUAGGAAUCUGCCUAUUAGUGGGGGACAACAUUUCGAAAGGAAUGCUAAUACCGCAUACGUCCUACGGGCGACAGCAGGGGAUCUUCGGACCUUGUGCUAACAGAUGAGCCUAAGUCGGAUUAGCUAGUUGGUGGGGUAAAGGCCUACCAAGGCGACGAUCUGUAGCGGGUCUGAGAGGAUGAUCCGCCACACUGGGACUGAGACACGGCCCAGACUCCUACGGGAGGCAGCAGUGGGGAAUAUUGGACAAUGGGCGGAAGCCUGAUCCAGCCAUGCCGCGUGUGUGAAGAAGGCCUUAUGGUUGUAAAGCACUUUAAGCGAGGAGGAGGCUACUUUAGUUAGUACCUAGAGAUAGUGGACGUUACUCGCAGAAUAAGCACCGGCUAACUCUGUGCCAGCAGCCGCCGUAA
rnacentral:rRNA from 1 species